rnacentral:rRNA from 1 species
AUUGAACGCUGGCGGCAUGCCUUACACAUGCAAGUCGAACGGCAGCACGGGAGCAAUCCUGGUGGCGAGUGGCGAACGGGUGAGUAAUGUAUCGGAACGUACCUUUCAGUGGGGGAUAACGUAGCGAAAGUUACGCUAAUACCGCAUAUUCUGUGAGCAGGAAAGCAGGGGAUCGCAAGACCUUGCGCUGAUUGAGCGGCCGAUAUCAGAUUAGCUAGUUGGUGAGGUAAAGGCUCACCAAGGCGACGAUCUGUAGCGGGUCUGAGAGGAUGAUCCGCCACACUGGAACUGAGACACGGUCCAGACUCCUACGGGAGGCAGCAGUGGGGAAUUUUGGACAAUGGGCGGCAAGACCUGA